rnacentral:rRNA from 2 species
UGAGCACUUGGGAUUGGCGAUCGGGAGCCUGCAAGGGCACCUGAUUGCUGAAAACUUGUGCAAACUUGAUGUAGUAGAGGAAGUAAAAGUCAUAACAAGGUUUCUGUAGGUGAACCUGCAGAAGGAUCAUU